UACAGGGGGUGCAAACGUUGCUCGGAAUUAUUGGGCGUAAAGCGCGCGUAGGCGGCUACCUAAGUCGGAUGUGAAAGCCCCUGGCUUAACCGGGGAAGUGCACCCGAAACUGAGUAGCUAGAGUGCAAAAGAGGGUCGCGGAAUUCCCAGUGUAGAGGUGAAAUUCGUAGAUAUUGGGAAGAACACCGGUGGCGAAGGCGGCGCUCUGGACCGAGACUGACGCUGAGGCGGCGAAAAGCGUGGGGAGCAAACAGGG
rnacentral:rRNA from 1 species